GAUGAACGCUGGCGGCGUGCCUAAUACAUGCAAGUCGAGCGAACGGACGAGAAGCUUGCUUCUCUGAUGUUAGCGGCGGACGGGUGAGUAACACGUGGAUAACCUACCUAUAAGACUGGGAUAACUUCGGGAAACCGGAGCUAAUACCGGAUAAUAUUUUGAACCGCAUGGUUCAAAAGUGAAAGACGGUCUUGCUGUCACUUAUAGAUGGAUCCGCGCUGCAUUAGCUAGUUGGUAAGGUAACGGCUUACCAAGGCAACGACGCAUAGCCGACCUGAGAGGGUGAUCGGCCACACUGGAACUGAGACACGGUCCAGACUCCUACGGGAGGCAGCAGUAGGGAAUCUUCCGCAAUGGGCGAAAGCCUGACGGAGCAACGCCGCGUGAGUGAUGAAGGUCUUCGGAUCGUAAAACUCUGUUAUUAGGGAAGAACAUAUGUGUAAGUAACUGUGCACAUCUUGACGGUACCUAAUCAGAAAGCCACGGCUAACUACGUGCCAGCAGCCGCGGUAAUACGUAGGCGGCAAGCGUUAUCCGGAAUUAUUGGGCGUAAAGCGCGCGUAGGCGGUUUUUUAAGUCUGAUGUGAAAGCCCACGGCUCAACCGUGGAGGGUCAUUGGAAACUGGAAAACUUGAGUGCAGAAGAGGAAAGUGGAAUUCCAUGUGUAGCGGUGAAAUGCGCAGAGAUAUGGAGGAACACCAGUGGCGAAGGCGACUUUCUGGUCUGUAACUGACGCUGAUGUGCGAAAGCGUGGGGAUCAAACAGGAUUAGAUACCCUGGUAGUCCACGCCGUAAACGAUGAGUGCUAAGUGUUAGGGGGUUUCCGCCCCUUAGUGCUGCAGCUAACGCAUUAAGCACUCCGCCUGGGGAGUACGACCGCAAGGUUGAAACUCAAAGGAAUUGACGGGGACCCGCACAAGCGGUGGAGCAUGUGGUUUAAUUCGAAGCAACGCGAAGAACCUUACCAAAUCUUGACAUCCUUUGACAACUCUAGAGAUAGAGCUUUCCCCUUCGGGGGACAAAGUGACAGGUGGUGCAUGGUUGUCGUCAGCUCGUGUCGUGAGAUGUUGGGUUAAGUCCCGCAACGAGCGCAACCCUUAAGCUUAGUUGCCAUCAUUAAGUUGGGCACUCUAAGUUGACUGCCGGUGACAAACCGGAGGAAGGUGGGGAUGACGUCAAAUCAUCAUGCCCCUUAUGAUUUGGGCUACACACGUGCUACAAUGGACAAUACAAAGGGCAGCGAAACCGCGAGGUCAAGCAAAUCCCAUAAAGUUGUUCUCAGUUCGGAUUGUAGUCUGCAACUCGACUACAUGAAGCUGGAAUCGCUAGUAAUCGUAGAUCAGCAUGCUACGGUGAAUACGUUCCCGGGUCU
rnacentral:rRNA from 1 species